GUUAGGAAUAUUGGACAAUGGGCGCAAGCCUGAUCCAGCCAUGCCGCGUGAACGAUGAAGGCCUUCGGGUUGUAAAGUUCUUUAGCCGAUGAUUAUAAUGACUGUAGUCGGAAAAUAAGCCCCGGCUAACUUGGUGCCAGCAGCCGCGGUAAUACGAAGGGGGCGAGCGUUAUUCGGAAUCACUGGGCGUAAAGCGUGCGUAGGCGGUCUCGUAAGUUAGGAGUGAAAGCCCAGGGCUCAACCUUGGAAUUGCUCUUAAAACUGCAAGGCUAGAAUCUCGGAGAGGAUAGCGGAAUUUCCAGUGUAGCAGUGAAAUGCGUAGAUAUUGGAAGGAACACCAGUGGCGUAAGCGGCUAUCUGGACGAGUAUUGACGCUGAGGCACGAAAGCGUGGGGAUCAAACAGGAUUAGAAACCCCAGUAGUCC
rnacentral:rRNA from 1 species